CGAAGGGGGCUAGCGUUAAUCGGAAUUACUGGGCGUAAAGCGUGCGCAGGCGGUUUGUUAAGAUAGGCGUGAAAUCCCCGGGCUCAACCUGGGAACUGCGCUUAUGACUGGCAAGCUAGAGUACGGCAGAGGGGGGUGGAAUUCCACGUGUAGCAGUGAAAUGCGUAGAGAUGUGGAGGAACACCAAUGGCGAAGGCAGCCCCCUGGGUCGAUACUGACGCUCAUGCACGAAAGCGUGGGUAGCAAACAGGAUUAGAUACCCUGGUAGUCCACGCCCUAAACGAUGUCAACUAGGUGUUGGGAGGGUAAAACCUUUUAGUACCGGAGCUAACGCGUGAAGUUGACCGCCUGGGGAGUACGGCCGCAAGGUUA
rnacentral:rRNA from 1 species